rnacentral:tRNA from 1 species
GGGCCCGUAGCUCAGCCAGGAUAGAGCGUCGGCCUGCGGAGCCGGAGGUCCCGGGUUCAAAUCCCGGCGGGCCCGCCA